GGGGCUAUAGCUCAGUGGUAGAGCAUCCGCUUCGCAUGCGGAAAGUCCGGGGUUCAACUCCCUGUAGCUCCA
rfam:Trichuris suis scaffold145.8, whole genome shotgun sequence.